rnacentral:rRNA from 1 species
GAGAUUUUCGCAAUGCCCGAAAGGGUGACGAAGCGACGCCGCGUGCGGGAAGAAGGCCUUCGGGUUGUAAACCGCUGUCGGGAGUUAAGAAAUGUAAGGAUGUUAAUAGCAUCUUUGCUUGACUAAGGCUCCGGAGGAAGCCACGGCUAACUCUGUGCCAGCAGCCGCGGUAAUACAGAGGCGGCAAGCGUUGUUCGGAAUUAUUGGGCGUAAAGAGCACGUAGGCGGCUAUGUAAGUCGGUUGUGAAAGCCCUCCGCUCAACGGGAGAACAGCAUCCGAUACUGCAUGGCUUGAGUGCGGGAGGGGAGAGUGGAACUUCUGGUGGAGCGGUGAAAUGCGUAGAUAUCAGAAGGAACGCCGGCGGCGAAAGCGGCUCUCUGGCCCAUAACUGGCGCUGAGUGUGCGAAAGCUAGGGGAGCAAACGGGAUUAGAUACCCCGGUAGUCCUAGCCGUAAACGAUGGGCACUAAGUAGAGGGGUUUUA